rnacentral:rRNA from 1 species
AUUGAACGCUGGCGGCAGGCCUAACACAUGCAAGUCGAGCGAGCGGCGGACGGGUGAGUAAUGUAUGGGGAUCUGCCCGAUGGAGGGGGAUAACUACUGGAAACGGUAGCUAAUACCGCAUACUGUCGAGUGUACCCAGAUGGAAUUAGCUAGUUGGUGAGGUAAUGGCUAACCAAGGCGACGAUCCCUAGCUGGUCUGAGAGGAUGAUCAGCCACACUGGGACUGAGACACGGCCCAGACUCCUACGGGAGGCAGCAGUGGGGAAUAUUGGGCAAUGGGGGCAACCCUGACGCAGCCAUGCCGCGUGAAUGAAGAAGGUCUUCGGGUUGUAAAGUUCUUUCGGUAGCGAGGCGUUAACUACAGAAGAAGCACCGGCUAACUCCGUGCCAGCAGCCGCGGUAAUUC